rnacentral:lncRNA from 1 species
CGCUGUGAUUGGAUGUAAGGGUACAAUAUAUUUUUUUAAUUAUCUAUGAAUAACUGCAGUGUGUAAAUUUACAAUAUAAAUUUUAAAACCUAUUGAAAUAUUUUCUAGUGAAUUAUUCGAAAAGGCUUCCAAAAUUUCAAAAAUUUGUUGUAAAAUGACGGUGGGCAUGGAUAACAUAAACAAGCUCCGUUGGAAAUUGGUCAUGAUACUAUUUGGCUUUAAUUUUUUAAAAUAGAAUAAUAAAGUACUA